UACGUAGGGUGCGAGCGUUAGUCGGAAUUACUGGGCGUAAAGUGUGCGCAGGUGGCCGCGCAAGUCGAGUGUGAAAUCCCCGAGCUUAACUUGGGAAUUGCGCUCGAAACUACGUGGCUCGAGUGUGGCAGAGGAAGGUGGAAUUCCACGUGUAGCGGUGAAAUGCGUAGAGAUGUGGAGGAACACCGAUGGCGAAGGCAGCCUUCUGGGCCAACACUGACGCUCAUGCACGAAAGCGUGGGGAUCAAACGGG
rnacentral:rRNA from 1 species